UACGUAGGGUGCAAGCGUUGUCCGGAAUUAUUGGGCGUAAAGAGCUCGUCGGCGGCCUGUUGCGUCCGCUGUGAAAGCCCGGGGCUUAACCCCGGGUCUGCAGUGGAUACGGGCAGGCUAGAGGUAGGUAGGGGAGAAUGGAAUUCCCGGUGUAGCGGUGAAAUGCGUAGAGACCCGGAGGAACACCAGUGGCGAAGGCGGCUUCCUGGUCUGCGGCUGACGCUGUGGCGCGAAAGCUAGGGGAGCAAACGGG
rnacentral:rRNA from 1 species